UAGGAAAUUUUUGCAAUGGGGGCAACCCUGACAGAGUAACGCCGCGUGGAGGAUGACGGCCUUCGGGUUGUAAACUCCUUUUCUGUGGGAAGAGUAGAAGACGGUACCGCAGGAAGAAGCCUCGGCUAACUACGUGCCAGCAGCCGCGGUAAUACGUAGGAGGCGAGCGUUGUCCGGAAUUACUGGGCGUAAAGAGCGCGUAGGCGGCGCUGUACGACAUGUGUGAAAGCCCCCGGCUCAACUGGGGAGGGUCAUGUGUAACGGCAGUGCUCAGAGUGCAGGAGAGGGAAGUGGAACUCCGGGAGUAGCGGUGAAAUGCGUAGAGACCCGGAGGAACACCAGUGGCGAAGGCGGCUUCCUGGUCUGUGACUGACGCUGAGGCGCGAAAGCUAGGGGAGCAAAC
rnacentral:rRNA from 1 species